ACGCUGGUAGCAAGCCUAACACAUGCAAGUUGUGCGAAUAUUUUUAAAAAAAAAAAGUAUUAGCAGCGAACGGGUGAGUAAAAUAUAAGAAUCUACUUUUAAGUAAAAAAUACUAUAUAGAAAUAUAUAUUAAUAGUUUAUUAAUCCUAAUGGAUAAAGUAUGGGAAAGCCAUAUGCUUAAAAAAGAGCUUAUAUCGGAUUAGCUAGUUGUUAAAAUAAACGUUUAACAAGGCUGUGAUCCGUAGUUGAUCUUAGAGGAUGAACAACCACAUUGGGACUGAAACACGGCCCAAACUUUUAAGGAAGGCAGCAGUGAGGAAUAUUGGACAAUGAGCGAAAGCUUGAUCCAGCUAUGCUACGUGUGUGAAGAAGGCCUUAGGGUUGUAAAACACUUUCGAUAAUGAAAGAAGAAAAAAAUUUAGUAAAAAAAAUUUUUUUUUGACGGUAAUUAUUAAAGAAGCACCGGCUAACUUCGUGCCAGCAGCCGCGGUAAUACGAGGGGUGCUAGCGUUAAUCAAAAUUAUUGGGCGUAAGGGUGUGUAGGUUGUAUAUUAAGUUAAUUGUAAAAUUUAUUAAAUAAAUUUUAAUAACGCAGUUAAUACUAUUAUACUAGAGUAUAAAAGAAGAAAAUAGAAUUCUAAGUGUAGCAGUGAAAUGCGUAGAUAUUUAGAAGAAUACUAAUGGCGAAGGCAUUUUUCUAUUUUAAUACUGACGCUAAUACACGAAAGCGUGGGGAGCCAACAGGAUUAGAUACCUUGGUAGUCCACGCAGUARACGUUGUCAACUAUUUUGUUAAAUAACAUAAAAUAAAAAAAAAAUUUUAAAGAAAUUAGUUAUGUAUUUUUAGUAGAAAAGCUAACGCGUUAAGUUGACCGCCUGGGUAUUACAACCGCAAGGUUAAAACUCAAAUGAAUUGACGGGGACUCGCACAAGCGGUGGAGCAUGUGGUUUAAUUCGAUACAACACGAAAAACCUUACCUACUUUUGACAUCCAAAGAAUUUACUAGAAAUAGUAAAGCUUUUUAAGCUUUGAGACAGGUGCUGCAUGGCUGUCGUCAGCUCGUGUUGUGAAACGUUGGGUUAAGUCCUAUAACGAGCGCAACCCUUAUCUUAUUUUACUAUAAAAAUAUUAGAUCUAAUAAGAAACUGCCAAUGACAAAUUGGAGGAAGGUGAGGACGACGUCAAGUCAUCAUGGCCCUUAUAAGUAGGGCUACACACGUGCUACAAUGAAUAAUACAAAAAGUAAAUGCUAAAUGGUGACAUUAUGCCAAUCUUUCAAAAUUAUUCUCAGUACGAAUUAAAAUCUGCAACUCGAUUUUAUGAAGUUGGAAUCGCUAGUAAUCGUAAAUCAGAAUGUUACGGUGAAUACGUUCUCGAGUGUUGUACACACCGCCCGUCACACCAUGGAAGUAGAUUGUAUCAUAAGUAAUUUAAUUAUUAUUACGGUAUGAUUUGUUAA
rnacentral:rRNA from 1 species